rnacentral:rRNA from 1 species
AACGAACGCUGGCGGCAUGCCUAACACAUGCAAGUCGAACGAGACCUUCGGGUCUAGUGGCGCACGGGUGCGUAACGCGUGGGAACCUUCCCUUAGGUUCGGAAUACCUCCCCGAAAGGGGUGCUAAUACCGGAUAAUGUCUUCUGACCAAAGAUUUAUCGCCUUUGGAUGGGCCCGCGUUGGAUUAGCUUGUUGGUAGGGUAAAAGCCUACCAAGGCGACGAUCCAUAGCUGGUCUGAGAGGAUGCUCAGCCACACUGGGACUGAGACGCGGCCCAGACUCCUACGGGAGGGAGGAGUGGGGAAUAGAGGACAAUGGGCGGAAGCAUGAUCCAGCAAGGCCGCGUGAGCGAUGAAGGCCGUAGGGUUGUAAAGCGCUUUUACCCGGGAUGAUAAUGACGGUACCGGGAGAAUAAGCACCGGCUAACUCCGUG